rnacentral:tRNA from 1 species
GGGCGAUUAGCUCAGUUGGGAGAGCACCUCCCUUACAAGGAGGGGGUCACUGGUUCGAGAGCGGUAUCGCCCACCA